UUCUUUUCUUUCCUCUCCUCCCUUCCCGAACCUUCUUUUCCUCCUUUCUUCUUCUUUCCGUCCCGAUGCUCGUGGAGCGCUCGGGAGGAGCCGGGUCCAAGGUCGAUGGUGCCGGCGACCGGCCAACAUCGCCCGCUGCUCGGCCUGUAGCGGCCGAUCCCCCCCUUCUUCAUCAUCCUUCUUCUCUUGAGAAGGGAGAAGGGCGGCUCCCCCUCACGGAAGAGGUCGACCGCGACCGACGGUGCCCGCGGCCGAACCCGUGGCCGCGCCCACGGCGGCCGGCCCCCCUCUGUUCCUUGGUGGAAAUGGGGUGUCGAGAUCACGCUCUCAAGAGGAAGGGACCUUCGGCCCGCUGCAGCUCCGACCAAGGGCCGACGGAGCUUGCAGUCGGAGCCGGCGGCUCCUCCCUCGUUCCCAUUGGGGUAGGGAAAAUAACCCACGACCAUGGCCAUGGAUGUGGCUACGGCUGCGGCCAAGCUCACCGCGACCAAAGGAGGGGAGGAAGGGCCUCCGGCCGUCGACGGCUGCAGUUGAACAUACCAGGGCUUACCUAGCGCCAACGAGGAGAUGGGGAGCUUCUUUCGGUAGCUUCCCCCGAUGGCUCGGCCUCCUACUCCGACGGCGUCGUUCCCGAUCCGAUUCCUUCGUAACGGAGAAGGGAGUGAAAGGUAGAUGAAAGAUAAGCAAUGGAGUCCCUUGGUGAGGAGAAAUCCAUGGCUUUUAUAGCCCUCUUCGGGAAGAGAGGAAAGGGAGAUCGGGAGUAUCAGGGUGGUUAUAACCGCCUGGCUUCUCCUUCUUCCCGAAGCUUCCUUAGUUUAAAUCUCCAAAUCGGCCGACCAUGUUGGGCUUGGCCCAUUAGCCCACUGUAUGUGGGCUGGUUUUCACAUUCUUCCCUCCUUAAAAUAAUUUCGUCCUCAAAAUUUACAUUCCUUAAUUCUUAAACAAAUGAAGUUACUUAGUCAUUUAUCUAACAUUCUACCACGUUUCCGCUGCGCACUCUGAUUCAAAACACUAAAAUCUUUGGAUUCACUAAUAACUUUUGAUCAAAAUACUACUUGUAUUAUGAACUAAAGAGAUCCAUAUCUUCAAUUUCCAAGUAAAGCCUAAAAGAAAGAAUAUUUGAUUCUUGAAUACAUCUAAUACAGAUUAACUCUCAAGUCAAUUGUUCCAUUCAAAAUCAUCAUAUGGGCUCGUUACUGUAAUUCCCAAAAUGUAUUGAAUCUUAAUUCUCUUAUCAAUUCAACUGGACAAUUCCAAGUCAAAUUCUUAUAACUAGAUUUAUUUUUUUUUUAAUGCUCCACCAAAUUACAAGACUUUAAUUCAACACAAAUGAGUCAAACCUCAAAGAUCUUCCGUCAUAACCAUCUAAGUCUCUAAAAUUUAAAUUUUUCAUGCAAAUUUAGGUUUCAAGAAUAACCUCAACAAUAUUGACAAAAGAUCCUAGAUUAACUUAUAAUUCCAAACUUUGAAUUGAAAUUCCAUAUACAUCAUACAGUCCCUGAUAAACAUGAAUAAAAUCUAUUAUUUGGAUCCAAAGACGAUAAUUUAAAUUAUUAAUAAUUCCACCAAGAUGAAUACAAUAAAAUCAAUUCUUAAAUAAGAAAAUAUACCUAUUUGCAAUAACUCACAAUAUAUUUUUCUUCAACAUAAGAGUUUCAUUCAUACUCCCCAAACAUGUUCAAACCUCGAAGAGUAUUAGGUAGCAUAAAAAUCUUUUAUAGCUUAAAUCUUAAACAAUUUCUUAUAAAGAGAUCCUAACUUGCCACAAAAAUGAUUAACUUCAAGCUAGAAGUAAUAUUACAACAUACCCCCAUAUCAAAAUGAACUUCCAAAUUGACUAAUAAACAAAUAAUUACAUUGCAUGAUAAUAUUCCAUGAUCAAUUCUCUUUCA